rnacentral:lncRNA from 1 species
GAGGCCUGACCACACCCACCCACUCAUCUAGGCCUCGGACCUCAACCGCGUGGACCACGGAGCAGAGGGAAACACUUCGGGCCACUCCGGGAGGGGGGCCCCGAAGUCAGGCGUCCUCAAGCGCUCUGGCUGCUGACCAAGUUCGUGUUCUUUCCAUCCCACGCCGGAGUAGCGCUCGCUACUUCGGGGAAGCGUGAAACUGCUCAGCCCCGGCCACGAGGCCACCUCUGUCUUUAAGACCACAUAAGGAACACCACGAUCGUGCAUCUGUGCAGCUUGUUCCAGAGUCCCAGCCCUCACCAGCUGUGAGGUCACAUCUCUUGGAAGGCAGUCAUCUACCUCAACCAACAGCUUGGAGAUGGCUGGGCAGUAGGACCACAUCUGCCAUUCGAACAGCCUACCACUGGUGCUCUGGGCUGUCCGGCUCCUUCCAGUGGUCCAAGAGAGGAUGCGAUUUUAAAAAAUGCGUAUAUUCAGCUUCCCGGGUGCAUCCUCAUCUUAUGGUAGAUCACCAGAGAGCAAAAGGCAAGCCAAACAGUGCAAGCACCUUUAAAGUCUUUGCUGGCAUCACACCUGCUCACUCUCCGUUGGUUACAGCAAGUCACAGACUCAAGUCCAAGGUCAGUGGAGCAGGGGAGGACAACAGCCCAAGAGGGAGGGGGAACGGGGGUAAAUAUUUACUGAAUAAUACUC